CAGUCGCCGCGGGAAUACGUAGGUGGCAAGCGUUGUCCGGAAUUAUUGGGCGUAAAGGGCUCGCAGGCGGUUUCUUAAGUCCGAUGUGAAAGCCCCCGGCUCAACCGGGGAGGGUCAUUGGAAACUGGGAAACUUGAGUGCAGAAGAGGAGAGUGGAAUUCCACGUGCAGCGGUGAAAUGCGUAGAGAUGUGGAGGAACACCAGUGGCGAAGGCGACUCUCUGGUCUGUAACUGACGCUGAGGAGCGAAAGCGUGGGGAGCGAACAGGAUUAGAUACCCCUGUAGUCCCUGUCUCUUAUAC
rnacentral:rRNA from 1 species